CAUCCAGACUCCUACGGGAGGCAGCAGUGGGGAAUAUUGCACAAUGGGGGAAACCCUGAUGCAGCGACGCCGCGUGAGCGAUGAAGUAUUUCGGUAUGUAAAGCUCUAUCAGCAGGGAAGAAAAUGACGGUACCUGACUAAGAAGCCCCGGCUAACUACGUGCCAGCAGCCGCGGUAAUACGUAGGGGGCAAGCGUUAUCCGGAUUUACUGGGUGUAAAGGGAGCGUAGACGGUCCUGCAAGCCAGAUGUGAAAGCCCGGGGCUCAACCCCGGGACUGCAUUUGGAACUGUGCGGCUAGAGUGCGGGAGGGGCAGGCGGAAUUCCUGGUGUAGCGGUGAAAUGCGUAGAUAUCAGGAGGAACACCGGCGGCGAAGGCGGCCUGCUGGACCGCGACUGACGUUGAGGCUCGAAAGCGUGGGGAGCGAACAGGAUUAGAUACCCUCGUA
rnacentral:rRNA from 1 species